rnacentral:lncRNA from 1 species
CUCAACAUAUGGUAUGUCACCCUUUGGGGGGGGGCACUGAUGAGAUCCCACAGAGGGAUCAAUGUUAUGUUAAUGUAUAUGCACAGGUUGAGUUUGGUUGAUGUAUAUGGAAAGAAAAGUUUUAAUUUUUAUGCAUGUUGUUGAUCAUGUAUGGGAUUAUACAGGUUUACAGGUUUCAUGUCAGGCUUGCUACGGGUCCCGGCGGCCUUAAGCCGAUCUGGAUCCUAGCGCCGGUAGCGG